CCCGCAAACUUGCUUUAGGGCUUGGACAGCGCCCUGCGUCAGGGCUGUGGCUGCAUCCACUCCGACAGACAAUUACCGGGUCAGGGCUCACGACCGCCGGGACAGGGAGUGGUGCGGUCUUCUCCAACCCAGACAGAAGCUGCGGCUCGGGGAGAAGUAUGUGUCUACUAAGAAGCAUGCCUCUCAGACAUAAAAGGAACAUGUAUCUGAUAAGUGAGGAGUGCUCCUACAGAAGACACACCCAGGCGCUAGCCUCUCCUCUGCAUGUUGUGAUGAGACUGUGUUUGGAAACAGGGGCGCUACGGAUGUAACUGAGCAUGAGCAGAGGAGGGUCAGAGAGAGAGGGAGAUACAG